rnacentral:misc_RNA from 1 species
AAAGUCGUAACAAGGUUUCCGUAGGUGAACCUGCGGAAGGAUCAUUAACUAAAUCCGCACACAACAUGUGUGCAUAAACCUUGUGAAUAGCCCCUCGGGGACGUUGGAUGCCAACGAUCUAUAUCUUAGAGUCUGAAUUUUUUAAAAUAUUAAAAAACAACUUUUAACAAUGGAUCUCUAGGCUCUU